rnacentral:rRNA from 1 species
UACGUAGGGUGCGAGCGUUAAUCGGAAUUACUGGGCGUAAAGCGUGCGCAGGCGGUUUUGUAAGCCAGAUGUGAAAGCCCCGGGCUUAACCUGGGAAUGGCAUUUGGGACUGCAAGGCUUGAGUGCGGCAGAGGAGACUGGAAUUCCUGGUGUAGCAGUGAAAUGCGUAGAUAUCAGGAGGAAUACCGAUGGCGAAGGCAGGUCUCUGGGCUGACACUGACGCUCAUGCACGAAAGCGUGGGGAUCAAACAGG